GCGGGAAAGACUAAAGACAGGAUUCGUCAAUGGAUGACCCCGGCCGGAUCAAUAUUGUUCUGUUAUUCGGCGUCAGUAACAAGCAGCGCCGACCUUGUUCCUCUGAGACUGAGGAGCAAAUAACCACAAUCAAAGGAUGGCGCCAGCAAGCGGCCUCACUCCCUCGUCUCCCUCCCGAGUCCUUGCACACCAAUCUCGUCAUCCCCGAGGUUCAGAGAUGAAGAUUAUUAUGAGUGAGCUGGACUUAAGAGUGAGCUGAAAGAUGGAGCGAUGCACGCUGAUGACUGGAUUCAAACCCGCA